rnacentral:rRNA from 1 species
UACGUAGGGUGCAAGCGUUAAUCGGAAUUACUGGGCGUAAAGCGUGCGCAGGCGGUUUUGUAAGUCUGUCGUGAAAUCCCCGGGCUCAACCUGGGAAUUGCGAUGGAGACUGCAAGGCUAGAAUCUGGCAGAGGGGGGUAGAAUUCCACGUGUAGCAGUGAAAUGCGUAGAGAUGUGGAGGAACACCGAUGGCGAAGGCAGCCCCCCUGGGUCAAGAUUGACGCUCAUGCACGAAAGCUGGGGAGCAAACAGGG